rnacentral:rRNA from 1 species
CCUACGGGAGGCAGCAGUGGGGAAUAUUGGACAAUAGGCGAAAGCCUGAUCCAGCCAUGCCGCGUGUGUGAAGAAGGCCUUCGGGUUGUAAAGCACUUUCAGUGGGGAAGAAAGCCUUGGGGCUAAUACCCUCGAGGAAGGACAUCACCCACAGAAGAAGCACCGGCUAACUCCGUGCCAGCAGCCGCGGUAAUACGGAGGGUGCGAGCGUUAAUCGGAAUUACUGGGCGUAAAGCGCGCGUAGGCGGUCUGAUAAGCCGGUUGUGAAAGCCCCGGGCUCAACCUGGGAACGGCAUCCGGAACUGUCAGGCUAGAGUGCAGGAGAGGAAGGUAGAAUUCCCGGUGUAGCGGUGAAAUGCGUAGAGAUCGGGAGGAAUACCAGUGGCGAAGGCGGCCUUCUGGACUGACACUGACGCUGAGGUGCGAAAGCGUGGGUAGCAAACAGGAUUAGAUACCCUAGUAGUC